UUGUUUCGGUGAGAUUUUUUGCAACAGUGAAAGGUGAAAUCAUUCUUACGGUCUUUUGAGGGUUUUCACUAUGAAUGACAUGGAAUCGUGGAAAGGUUUCUUUGCGUUGAAAGAAAAAUUGAGCUGUUUCUUCGGUGCGCCCUCUUUUUGAAAGAGGACGAUCAGGUAGUUUAGGGAAUGAUGCGAAUGCCAUACAGGUUUAUUGAUUUCGGCAGCGAUGGUAGCCGCCCACCAUGGAGCCCAACAAGGGGACGGUACAAGGUUUGAAGAUUACCUGCACACGCCAGCUAUACACCGCCACUAUAACCUAAUAUAUAUAUCCAAGGCUGGAUAUAAUACACAAGGUUAACCCUUGCCGCCCAGAAAUUCGGAAGUGAGAAGAAAUGACUAGAAGACAGGACAGAUGGAAAAAGUGAGAGAGAAAGACAAAAGAUUGAGGAGGGGGACAGGAAAAGGCGACUGCCGAUUUCCUCCAGGUGGGUCAGUCUGGAGGUGCCGUCUAUGUGAAGCAGAGGCCGAAGAGGUGUGUUGCCUCCGCCGGGGGCCUUAAAGGUCCGAGCACCCAGCAUCGGCUCAACCCCCAGGAUCCCCCUUUCCCCAGACACGGCUAAGCCGCGCACGGUUAGUCGCGGGAGGGUCCAACCCUCGUGUGCUCGGGUACGUGGUGGCGCAACUCACCAAACGCCUGCUUGCGCAGACGCCCCUGCGGGGGUUAAAC